ACCACUUUCUCUCUCUUAAAUCUUUUCUCUCAACAAUAACACUACUUUAACAGCUAAAAAGGUGCAUUUCUUUAAUGCUCCACCUGAUGGAGAUGUCGGUAGGCUCCUCUCUGGUGCAUAAAGAGGGAAAUCUUAACCCACCAGAGAGGAUGAAUACAACCAACAAUGGAAUUACAGAGAAACAAACAUAUUCUAACUCUUUCACUACUCCAUCUUCAUCAAUUACAACUUGUUUUUGCCGAGGAAGAGAAGCUGUAAUUGCUAGGCAAUCUAACCACAACGGAAUGCCAACAGUCAUCUUCAAAUCCAAAGACUAUUAUGGAAUUAUGGUGGAAGAAUGUAAGUAUACAAUUAUAGGAAGAGAUCCCCACCCCCAAAUUGAUCGAAUUAGGUCAAAAUUCAAGAAAACUAUCUCAAUUAAAGGCUCUUGCAAAAUUGGUGUGUAUGUGUAUGAUAAUUAUAAUGUUUUCUUGGAUUUUAAAAAUGAUGAGGAUUUCAAAUCUGUCUGGUUUAAAAGAGUUAUUGAACUUGAUGGGAUGCAAAUGUGGCUACAAAAAUGAACUGCGAAUUUCAAGUUGGAAGAGGAUAUACCAAUUUCUCCAGUUUGGAUUCUUCUUCCUGGACUGCCAUUUCAUAUGCACUCAUGGCAUUAUGUAAAACAAAUUGUGAGUUCCAUAGGGACACCUCUAGUGAUGGAUACCGCUACUAUAAGGAACUUAGCCAAGUAUGGCUAAAGUUAGAGUUGAACUAGAUCUUCUCAAGUCCCAUCCGGAUAGUGUUUGGGUGGGAAUAGAGGAUGAAGACACACCUUUGAAAGGUUUUACUCAACAAUUAGAGUAUGAAACCAUCCCAAAAUACUGCAAAAAUUUUAGAAAAAAAUGGACACAAUGUAAUGAAUUGCAGGAUUUUAGAAAAAAUUAUGGCUAAAGCUGAAGAGGAAAAAGGAAAAGAGACGAAGAUCUUGAGGCAGAGCAAUCUGCGAAGGACAAAAAAGAGGUUGUAGAAGAGAAUGACUAUAGAAAAGGGGAGGAAACAGUUGCGAAACAGGAAAACAACAACAAUACACAAGAGAACAUUAUUUUUGCUUCAAAAGAAAACAAAGCUUACAAAGGUAAAACCAAGAAAAAGAAAAUCAAGAAGAUGCCAAAAAAGAAAAGCAAAGUUAUUUUCAAGACUAUCAUUCCGAGAAAAAAUGAAACUUCAGUUUCAAGACUGAAGAACCAGUCUAUACAUAGGGACAGAAAAAAGAACACUCUUAAGGAUGACCAUUAGGAAGUAGUUCAUGGAAAACAAAGGCAGAAAAAAAGAAAAUGUAUAAUGUGAUUAUUGAGAUAAAUGAAAUCACAGAGGAAGACCAUUCUACUAAUCAAGAUAAAGUGCAUCAGAAUGAUCUCACAGAAGAGGAAAUCAAUAUGGACAAUCCUACUACUAGCAAAGGGAAAAACAACCACUCCCAACAUAGUGUCUCUAGUAAAUCUCACAACAAUACAGACUCCUCUAAUGUCCCGACAGAAAUAAGAGAGAUGUCUGGUUUAAACUUGGUUAUGGAUUUGAAUAAUAAAUAGACUGAAGAUACAACUGACAACACACUUAGUAACAAUAUCUCAGAGGUACGUGUAGAAGAGUAACCUUGCCCCGUUAACCCUCCAAUUGAUCUAAAAGUAAGGAUCACCAAGAUUGGGGUUAUAAUAAAAUGGAGCAAUAUGGUAAAUUUGAUUCAGAUAUGCCAUCCUCUAGCAACAAAGAAAGAAGCAAAGAAAGAAAACAUGAAAAAAGGCAAAGAAGCAAAACUCAAACUUCUCAGAGGAGAAAACAAAAGGAAGGCACCCCCCCAAAAUUUACUAUGAUUAGUGCUCUUUUUUGGAAUAUAAGGGGGGUUAGAUUAGAAAAAAAGCAUUUCAUAGACUCAAAAAAUUAGCUCAUAUCAAUAAAUCCCAAUUUAUAGCCUUAUUUAAACCUUUUGUUUCUGGAGAUAAAAUAGAUGGUUAUCAAAAGUUCCUAGGGUACAAAAAUUGUCUUUCUAAUACGAACAGGCAAAUUUGGUGUUUUUGGAGCUACAAUAUUCAAGCAGAUCUUAUCUUAGAAAGUGAUCAACAUAUAACUAUCGUCAUGAAAAAUGCGUAUGGUUAUCAGGACUUUUACAUUUCAUCUAUAUAUGCUAAAUGCACCAUAACUGAAAGAAGAGAUCUUUAGGAGUGUCUUGAAAAUAAUAAUUUUAAAGUUGAUGGUCCUUGGUGCAUUGGAGGUGGCUUCAAUGUAAUUUUGGAUCAGUCAGAGAAGUUAUGAGAAAAAACACAUAGAAUGUCCAAAAGUUUGGAUUUCCAGAAGUGCUUGGACAAUUGUGGGUUAACUAAUAUUGGUUAUACUGGUUGUAAUUUUACUUGGUACAAUAAUAGAAGCCCGAUAAAGAGAAUUUCAAAAAGAUUGGAUAGAGUGUGUAUCAAUAACCUUUGGGACCAAUCUUUCCAAAAUUGCUUUGUUAAGCAUUUAGCCAAAACUGGUUCUGACAUAAUUCGUUGCUUUUGAAAUUUCAAUUCUCUAAUAGUGCAUAUAUUACCUAUUUCAAAUUCCUUAACUUGUGAGUGACAUAAGAAGGUUUUAUGAAUUUAGUGAAAUAUAUAUAUGGAGUACCAGCAUUCAAGGCAAACCCAUGUGGAUUUUACAAUCAAAAUUAAAGAUUCUUAGUAAAACACUCAGUCUCUGGCUGAGAAAAUAAAUUGGAGAUGUCAAUAGAACACCAUCAAGUGGGAAACAAAGCUUCAAAAUCUAGAGAAAAUCGACAUCCAACUCAACACUGAGCAAACCAGACUCGAGUUAACAAAGCUUAUGCAGAAUACAUCCACUUGAUAAAAUUAAAAGAGUCUAUCCUCAACAAAAAAUCUCAAUUCAAAUGGUUUGAAGAAGGAGAUAACAAUACUAGAUGCUUUUAUAACAUCCUCAGGGAAAAUAGGAGGAAGUUGUUUUUGCAUAAAAUCAAGAAUAACAGGGGAAAGUGGAUCAGUGGAGAUGAGAAGAUUUCCAGGGCUGAAAUUAAACACUUCCAAUAUCUAUGUAAUUGACUAUACACCUAAUAUUAUUUCAUUGGUUGAGAAUGAUAGGUUGUGCUAAAUUCCAGAAGAACAAGAAAUAAAGGAGGCCAUUUUCAGUCUUAGUGCUACCAGUAUUGCAGGACCCAAUGGGUUUAAUGGAACAUUCUUACAAAGUUGUUCAUAAAAAAACUGACCAGGUAUGGUAAUAAAAAAAGUUCAAUUUGUAUAAACAUGAACAACAGGUGAGAUAGAUCAUACAAGCGGCCACAACCAAGACCUUUCCUGGAUGCAAGCUCACAUCUCCAUGGAAGGAAUUUUUUUUGAAACUAUUAAAGCUACAACCUAUACCAAGAAUUACGGUGGUCUACUGGCAAAAACCAGAACUCAGCUUUCUCAAGAUAAAUAUAGACGGAAGCUUCGAACAAAAUAAUGGGAAAAACAGGACUUGGAGAUGCACUCAAAGAUGAAGAUGGACAACUGAUCAUGGCAUUUUCCAUCCCUUUCCAGUGUACUAAUCAUAACAUUGCAGAACAAAGGAAGAUUGGUAUGAAGGAAAAUGGUGUUAAAAAAAAUGGAUACACCAACCUCAUCAUAGAAUCGAAUUCCAUGGUGGUCACUGAUAUGCUCAGGAACAAGAAAGCUGAUAGCUUUAGAAUUAGUAGAAUUAUUAAAGAAACCUCAGAGAUGCUCAAGCAGGCUGCUAUCAAAUUCACACAUUGCUACAAGGAAGCUAAUCUACUUACGAAUUGGCUAGAAAAUAGGGCAAUGAACUCACAAGAUAGUGCUAUUUACUUAUCUGCAAACGAGCUCCCUAAUGUUGCAAAAGGUCCCUACCUUUUGGAUAAGAGACAAGUCCUCUUCCAUUAGAUCAAAAUUUAACAAAGCUAAUUUAUUUGUUAGUUAGGGCUUACCUAUUGUGUAGUUAUAGAAUGAGCGACUAACUCGUGGAAGUUCAUUCUUUGUUUUUGCCGGAUAGUCUCUAUACUUGUAUUAUAAUCCAAUCCUUUGAAAUGAAAUACAACACACCCAGAGUCAUUGGGAAAAUUAAUAAAAAAAAGAAUAGGGGCAUAUGAAUACCCAAAAUAUAAUGAAGGAUAUAUACGUACUAUUUAUCAUAGUUCAGGGGUGUAUUUGUCCCUUUUUUCGACUCUUAUUUAUAUAAAAUAUAUAAAAGAGAAGUCUUUAAUUAUUCAGUCAAACAAACAUCAUAAUUAUCAUGUAUGGCAUACUUUUAUCUAAGGUUUGAUAUGUUAUUCAUAAUGAACAUUCUAAAGUCUCAAGGCAAUGAUCCUUGGGAUCGGGAUCCAUUUAGCACCAUUCACAAUUUUACUUGGAUCAAAUUUUGGAGUCGUUGCAUUCUAUUCUUGGUUUUUUCUUUUGUCUCAAUUCAAUUUCCUUUAUCUCUUCAAAAUUAUGUACGUAUUCACCUUUUAUGACUUGUUUCUUUGCCUUAGUAUUUCUUCUAGAAAUGCUUUUCGGGUACAUUUACCCCUUCAUGUUACUCUUUUCAAGCAUUACUUAUGUUUCUCUUUUUGGUAACUAACUGAUUCAUUUAAUUUCCAGAAUAACAUUAUAUAACAAGCAACUGUCACAACAUGCUUAGUUCUCAUCUGCAUCACUAUCUGACUAGAGCUCUAACAUGUCUUAAUGCUUACAAUUUAAAUUGCAUCAAUCUAUCUUUUUUUUUUAUCUCGGAGGGAUCUAGCAAUAGAAGUAUAGGCUAUCUUUUUGGGUAAAGUUUUUAUAGUACCCUGCUUCAGAAAAUUUCUACAGUUUCUCUCAAUCCAAAUGACAUAAACAACCUAUUCAAGGAGAGUCUUGAAUGUUUGGGCUUGCAGAGACAACCUUUUGCCCUGAUGAGUGCUCCAACGAAUAUACAUACUCCAAUUUAUUGGGGAGAAAACUUGUCGUUGCAACCAGGUGAGUAUUUUAUUCCACAAGUUGAUGGAGAAAUGGCACUGCACAAAAAUAUGCUCAAUAGACACAUCUUCAUUAUGACAUAGGACACAAGUUUUAGCAACAUCUAAUCUCCAUUUGAUAAGUCUGUCUGCAGUUACUACCCUCUUAUGCAACAUGAGCCACAUAAUAAAGCAUGCCUUAAGUCUAGUUGCAUCGUUGAACAUUAAACAUUUCCAUUGCACUGUUGGUUGAUCACCCAACAUCUGCAGAUAAAGUUGUCUAAUUAGGCUACCUUUCCUUCUCUGACCUUGUAGAAGAAUGUAAUGACCCUUCGGUUCAUUAGCCCCGUUUUUGCUUAUUUUCAUCGAUAGAGCUCCUCCAUAGCCGUCCCAAGUCAUUAGUGACUUGCUGGAACUGAUAGUUCGGUUACCUGACGGUUCGUUUGGUUUAUAAAACCACUUUUCCAAUUUGAGUCUUCAUCGAUUCCAAAUGGUCGCCGAGCGAAAAAAAUUCACUAAAAUGAUUUUGGAUGCAAAUUUCAACUGCGCCAGCAACUAUGUAAUAGUGAUUUUAGGAUAGAUAGGCCCUUGGUUUGGAUCCCACCCAUUAGUCGAGAAAGUAAAAAAAAUUGAAAUAUAUGAGUAUGGGACCCACAAGUGGUCUAAAUGAUCUCAGAUGGAAAAUUUAAAUUCACCAAUGCAUUCAGAAUGUUGAAUUUAGUGGGGUUACAUAGUUUGUUUGCGAAAAACGGAGUCCGAAUGAGUUCGGAAGGUCAAAAACAAAUUUUGACCCUGCAGGCCCAUUUAAAAUCGUAUAAAAAGGUGGUUUUGACAGAUUUUGAGCAUUCUUCACUCCUAUUAGAACCUUAGCAGCCUCAAGGAGAUUGGUAACAAAAAAUAAGUCUUGUGGGUUGGUUGGAGGCUUAACAACUUGUGUAAUUCACCUUUUUACUACAAAUCCAAGGUAGGAAUUCUUCUAAUUUGAUAUUAAGAUCCUAAAUCAUGAUGGGUCAAUUUAGCCCCAAAAUUGAGUUAUUGACUCAAAUUACUUGAGGAUUUUAACUCCUUAUAGAUAAUUAGGCUAUGGGUUGAUCUUGGAAACUCCUUUUCAAGGGUGAAACCCAAUUAGGGUUUUGGUGCCCAUUUGAAACCCAUGACACAAUGGUGCUAUAAUGGGUAUUUUCAUUCUUGUUGUAACACUUAGAUUGUAUUAUUGAUAGCAUUGCUUGUGGAAGAGAAAGUUUCUCCGAAAGAAAAGGAAAAGCUCGUUGAUUUGUGAGUUGCUUGGAUUCAAGGUAGGUUAGGCUUACUCGUAGACUAGAUUGAGCUUAUUUUUAAUCUAAUUAUUGAUAUCUUGCGAGAUAGGAUGGGGUACCUAGAUGGUAGUUGAUUAAAUGGUGAACUUGGGAUUUAUUGAUUGCUAUAGACUAUUAAUUUGUAAGGUAUAAUAUUUGACCCUUAGCCUAGGACCUUGGUGAGUCUGUCUGCGGUCUCAUGACUAGUAAUUUAAGAUGAGGAGGAAAGUUUCUGUCCAUCAUAAAAGAUUAAAAGAACCCUAAAACACUUGGCAACAUGCAUUUUCACCUUGCAUUUCAGUAAACCAAAAAUCAGUCAUAAAUCUUAAAUCUUCAACAAUCUCAUUAUAUAUAUUUAUAUUAUAUCUCCCUAAAUCAAAAAUAAGCAAAAAAGGUUAUAUCCAUACCUGCCGCACCAUGAGUAAAAUGAGACUUGCUGCCAAAUGGGAAAUAACCAGUAGUCUCCCAUUUAUUGCAAGUUCUUUUCUUCCAGUUUGAAGACUUUUAUGUAUGCUUAUUGGUUUGUCUAUUCAUUUGUGUAUGUCAUUGUCUUGGAAAAUAUUGAUAUUAUGAUGAUGUCCGGUUUGAGUCCGGAGGAAUAUAUGAUAUUAUGAUGAUAUCCGAUUCGAGUUCGGAGAAAUAUGUGAUAUUAUGAAGAUGCCCGGUUCGAGUCCGGAGGAAUGUGUAAUAUUAUGAUGAUGUCCGGUUAAAGUCCAGAGGAAUGUCUGAUAUUAUGAUGAUGCACGGUUCAAGUCCGGAGGAAUGUGUGAUAUUAUGAUGAUGCCCGGUUUGAGUUCAGAGGAAUAUGUGAUAUUAUGAUGAUGCCCGGUUUGAGUCCAGAGGAAUGUAUGAUAUUAUGAUGAUGCCCGAUGAAUCCGGUGGAACAUAUUGAUAUGGUGAUAAUGCCCCGUGAAUCCGGAAGAGACCCAGGUCUUAGGUGCCGCCGUUGAUCUAUUUCGUGCGAGUUGACUAUUUGGAGACAGGGUGAGCUCUUGGAGAUGGAGUUGCCCUCUUUCCCUUAUAUCCUUCUUUGUCUUUUGCUUUCGAGACAAAUGUAUGAGACUAUUUAAGACAUUUUAGGUUGUGAGAUUGUAAAUUUCUCUUGUCAAAUUUAGAAGCUCUUGUAUUAAUACUAUCAGGUCGUGGGAUUUGUGUUUGAAUAUCGGUUGUCCUUAGUUGUAUAAAUAUUGUUAUAUAUUUUGUUUA